UGCACAGCGAAAGACAAUUAUACAUGGUAAGACCAACUUUUUUUUCUCCCCGGUAGAGUAGUAUGCAUGAAUUACACGUCGCCACUUAUUCAUGUUUCAUUGCAGAUUCUGCUCACUGAGCGGUCGUAUGCCAGAAAUCCUCUGCACAAAACCUCAUCAACCAGUUUGCCCGUGAGCUGCAGUCCAUCUUCAGGUGAGCGGUACACUCUGGUCGCCAAUCCACAAAAAGCAGUCAUAGUCAAUUUCACACCUAUGCCCAAUUAAGAGCAAUUAACCCAACAUUAUAAAAUGUGGGAGGGAGGGAGCCGGCGUACCCAGUAAAAGGCACAUGAAGAACAUGUGGACUCCACAUAUGACCUAGCUGAGUAAAAUAAGUGAAAAAAAAUAUCCACUGAUAUCAUAUUGGAAAAGGCCUGAUGUAUCAUUUUUCAUUCAAUGUAAAAAAAGAAGAAAAAAAUAUGUGUAUGCUAAAUGUUGACUAGAAAAUAUUGUGUACAUAAAAAGUUAAGUCAAGAAUACUUUAGAAAGUUCGAGAAUCAUUUCUCUUUUACCUUGACUGAUUUCAAUGUAAAAGUAUGUACACCCGAAAAGAAAAAAAAAAAGGAAAAAAAAUCCACAACCAUUGUACCGGUAUAUUUGCGACCGACGUUGAAUGAUGAAUUUGUGCACCAAGAGUGAUUGACUUCCUCAUUGAAAGCAAUCCUUCCUGAAAGCACCUGCUCAUCAAGUAAUAGCGAUUUGGUUAGAACAGAAAACUCCAAUCAUCUUACAAGGAGUGACAUUUUUGUGAAAGCUGAUUUGUGCUCUCAAAA